AGGAUGAACGCUGGCGGCGUGCUUAACACAUGCAAGUCGAACGAUGAAGGGAGCUUGCUCCUGGAUUAGUGGCGAACGGGUGAGUAACACGUGAGUAACCUGCCCUUGACUCUGGGAUAAGCCUGGGAAACUGGGUCUAAUACCGGAUAUGACCUUCCAUCGCAUGGUGGUUGGUGGAAAGCUUUUGUGGUUUUGGAUGGACUCGCGGCCUAUCAGCUUGUUGGUGGGGUAAUGGCCUACCAAGGCGACGACGGGUAGCCGGCCUGAGAGGGUGACCGGCCACACUGGGACUGAGACACGGCCCAGACUCCUACGGGAGGCAGCAGUGGGGAAUAUUGCACAAUGGGCGCAAGCCUGAUGCAGCGACGCCGCGUGAGGGAUGACGGCCUUCGGGUUGUAAACCUCUUUCAGUAGGGAAGAAGCGAAAGUGACGGUACCUGCAGAAGAAGCGCCGGCUAACUACGUGCCAGCAGCCGCG
rnacentral:rRNA from 1 species